AUAUAUGUCCUGUAUUUUACAAGUGAGAUGAGACUCAAAUAAAUAAUCUGUCUGUCUGUCUCCAAAACUCUUUCUUCUGAUG